rnacentral:rRNA from 1 species
CGGUUGAUCCUGCCGGACCCGACUGCUAUUUGGGUGAGGAUAAGCCAUGCGAGUCGAAUGGGAUACCUAAAUUUCCCAUGGCAGACUGCUCAAUAACACAUGAUCAACUUACCCUAUAGAGAAAAAUAACCUCGGGAAACUGAGGAUAAUGUUUCAUAGUUGAAAAGGCUUGGAAAAGUUUUUCGACUAAAGGGAUAAGAAAAAUGGUUCUUAUCCGCUAUAGGAUAGGAUCGUGGUCGAUUAUGGUCGUUGGUGAGGUAAUGGCUCACCAAGCCGAUAAUCGAUAGGGGCCGUGAGAGCGGGAGCCCCGAGAUGGGUACUGAGACAACGACCCAGGCCUUACGAGGCGCAGCAGGCGCGGAACCUCCGCAAUACACGAAAGUGUGACGGGGUUACCCAAAGUGUUCAAUUUUGAACUGUGGUAGGUGAGUAAUGUCCCCUACUAGAAAGGAGAGGGCAAGGCUGGUGCCAGCCGCCGCGGUAAAACCAGCUCUUCAAGUGGUCGGGAUAAUUAUUGGGCUUAAAGUGUCCGUAGCCGGUUUAGUAAGUUCCUGGUAAAAUCGGGUAGCUUAACUAUCUGCAUGCUAGGAAUACUGCUAUACUAGAGGGCGGGAGAGGUCUGAGGUACUACAGGGGUAGGGGUGAAAUCUUAUAAUCCUUGUAGGACCACCAGUGGCGAAGGCGUCAGACUGGAACGUGCCUGACGGUGAGGGACGAAAGCCAGGGGAGCGAACCGGAUUAGAUACCCGGGUAGUCCUGGCCGUAAACGAUGCAUACUAGGUGAUGGCACGGCCAUGAGCCGUGUCAGUGCCGUAGGGAAACCGUUAAGUGUGCCGCCUGGGAAGUACGGUCGCAAGGCUAAAACUUAAAGGAAUUGGCGGGGGAGCAC